UGUGAAUAAUGGCAAAAUCAUCGAAAGGUGAUGACGCAAAGCUAAAGGGGCUAUCCAACGCCAGCCAGCUACCAAA
rnacentral:ncRNA from 2 species